GAUGAACGCUGGCGGCGUGCCUAAUACAUGCAAGUCGAGCGGUAAGGCCCCUUCGGGGGUACACGAGCGGCGGACGGCUGAGUAACACGUAGGAACGUACCCCAAACUGAGGGAUAAGCACCCGAAAUGGUGUCUAAUACCGCAUGUUGCCCACGGGCUAAAGCUUCGGCGGUUUGGGAACGGCCUGCGUCCGAUUAGCUUGUUGGUGAGGUAAUGGCUCACCAAGGCGACGAUCGGUAGCUGGUCUGAGAGGAUGAUCAGCCAGACUGGGACUGAGAACGGCCCAGACUCCUACGGGAGGCAGCAGUAGGGAAUUUUCCACAAUGGGCGAAAGCCUGAUGGAGCAACGCCGCGUGCAGGAUGAAUGCCUUCGGGUUGUAAACUGCUUUUAUCUGUGACGAAUAUGACGGUAGCAGAUGAAUAAGGAUCGGCUAACUCCGUGCCAGCAGCCGCGGUAA
rnacentral:rRNA from 1 species